rnacentral:lncRNA from 1 species
AAAUAAAAUAAACAAAAAUAACCAAAUUGGGCCAAAGCCCAAAUGGAAAAGGGUGGUAAAAAUAAAAAAGAGGGGUGGCAAGAGAGAUCCUUUUGUUUGGCCUAAUACGAGCCCAAAAGAUGAGACAGAGGGGUGUGAGAAUAAAAAAAGGGGUGCGGGUCUAAUUUUAGUUUAAUAGCAUAUUGGGUCUAAGCCCAUGUGAAAAGGAGCGCGACUUAGUGGAAACAGGGGGUGCAGAAACGAUUUUUUUGGUUGGCAGAAUGGGCUCGAACCCAAAGAGAUGGGGGUUGCGGAUGGAAGCAAAGGGGGGUGCGGGAAGUUAGUCAAAACCUAAAAAUUAACUAAAACAAAUAAAAAAAAACCUAGGCCCUAUUCCAGCCUCAGAAACCCCUUUAGGGGUCCUCUCAGACUCUCUUAUUUCACUCAACACAACACAGAGGGUCUCUCCCCUUCUCCCUCUCUCGUCGCCCUAGGAUUGGGUUCCUUUGCCACCAGACAAAUCGACCGGCCGCCGCCUCCCUCCGACCAGCCAUGGCGAAGCCGACGUCCUCGCCACCAUCCGGCCAGCCAACGCAGGUCGC